UUACAUUGUGAAAUGGGCACCCUAACCAGAUUGCUCUCUCCUGCCUACCUGCCUCCCUGCCUCCCAGAACACUGAUUCUCUUGGCCCCGGCGGUGGGGUUGUAAUGAAGACAGGAUCUAGUUGAAAAGCAUCAAUAUGAAUUUCUUCUGCCUUCUUUGCAGCCUAACCCUGACAUCUAGCACUUGGUAUUUCUGGAAAAGGUGCUUUUUCUUAGCUGUUCUGGCUCAAUGAACGUGUCCCAGUGUCCAGAUGGAGUUAUGGAGUCGUUUGUCUUCAGUGGGACACAGAAAACUACAGAGCAGUUUAUUACUUGCUAUCUCAGAGUUGUCUUAUUGCAUUUCUUCGUAUUUUUUUGUGGUCCUGGUUUCUUCUCUUCGUGAAAGAGCAUUGCUGGUCUUAAGUUUUUAAGAACUUGCCAGUUUGUUAGGGUACCUAGAUAUUUGUCUUGCAUAAUAUCUUAAACCUUAGAGAAAGAAGAUUGCUGGGCUUCUACCUCCUCAUCAUGAAGAAAAUUUAAAGUUCUUAGAUAACAGUGUUAGCCUUCAUAUAUUUCCCAUUGUGACAGUGAAAAGAGUUGGUGACGAAUGAAAAGAGUUGGUGACGAAUGAGAACUCUUUUUUGGGGGUGGGGGCCAGGAUUUAUAAGAGCAUUUUUGGGUUUAAUGAAAGCAUGUCAAGAUUGGCAUUUUGGUCUGGAUAUCUGCCAAUACGAUACGAUAGCUUUUCUAAGCCCGAUAACUUUGUGGGACAAGUAACCAAUUAAAAAAAAAAUCUUUUUAACAGUUUACCAGACUUUCAGCCUAAAAUUUGGAAGUUCUUUUAAAAAAAAUUUUUUUUAAAUGUUUAUUUAUUUUUAAGAGAGAGACACAGCACAAACAGGAGAGGGACAGAGAGAGAGGGAGACACAGAAUCCAAAGCAGGCUCCAGGCUCUGAGCUGUCAGCACAGAGCCUGACAUGAAGCUCAAACUCUUGAACUGUGAGAUCAUGAUCUGAGCCAAAGUUGGACACUUAACUGACUGAGCCACCCAGGAGCACCUUAAAAUUUGGAAGUUCUUAACAGAUUUGUGAAUUAGAAUCCUUUUUGAAUGGUGUAGUAAUAAUAACUACUACUAAUGUGUACAGCACUUAACUUUAAUAUAUAUCAUCUUGCAUAAUUAACUAAAUGAGACUAUUCAAAGUACCCAGCAUGGGAUGUAGUACUUAGUAAGUUCUAAGUAAGUGUGCAUGUAUUUAAUAAUAAUAUUUCUCUGGGCUAGAUAUUAUUUUUUAUAGGUAAAUAAGCAGAUCAUUUGGUAUGAGGCUACCACUCCAGAAUCCAGGUUUUUGGAUUCCAAAUUUGAUCUCUUCUAGGACAACAAAGUGGGUUAGGUAUGAGCCAUAGCACCUGUUCCCCAGAUAUCAUGAAUUGCAUUGUGGUGGCAUGGAAAAUUAAUGGACUGGUCAGAUUACUGGACAUGUGGUGCUCUCUGGUUUUGGUGGGUAGGAACUCUGAUGGUCAAGGGAAUGCCAAUUCCUUUAGCUUAAAUGUGGUGUUUGACUGGGAUGUCCAUUAAAAGGACUGUGGGAGGCCAGCUAGCAAGAAGAGGGAGGUGACUGAUAACUCCCUUUGAGGAAGAGAGACCACUUUUUUUAGGGUAGUGAAAUAGGAGUAAAUGACCUGACUGCUGAGGAAGCUUUCUGAUGACUCUGUUCCUGUCACUUCUUCACAUGCCUAGGGCCCAGAAAGGGAUCUCUUCACCGCGCCCCAUUGCCUCUACCUGUGUUUUAGUCUCUUUGGUCUCCUAAAGCUGGGCCCUGAUUAGAGCUCUGUGCAAAAAGUUUUGGGAUUUGACUCCAUUGUGACUUGGCUCCAGCUGACCUUCCCAUUUCCAGCUCCUGCUACUCCUUCCUCAACAGUACUCAGGAUUCCCUAAACCUACCCUGCGUAUUCCCUGCCCUUGAGACCCUGCUCUCCAGCUUUCUUGCACCAGGAAUUCUUUCUUGAGUCAGGAUUAUUACUUUCGAGUUCCAGUUCAGAUGCCACUUAAUUCUAAGUAUUCCCAGAGGGAGAGGAGGUCAGAAUCUCUGCUUGGAUUCCCUUCCUAUAAGAUUUAAAGUUUAAGCACUUGCUCAUUUUGUGAUUUUUUACAUACUGCUUUUGGUUAUUAUAGGGGCAUAAAGACAAAAGUCUGACAUAACCUGUCUUACAUCUAAUAGUUACCAAGUCUGUUAAAGAGUAAAUAAAUGCAAUUAUUAUUAUGGGCUGCUUUAUUGCAGUGGUUCUCAAUAGGAGGCCCCCAGCCCAGCAGCAUCAGCAUGAUCUGGGAACUUGCUAGAAAUAUAAAUUCUCAGGCCCUACUUCUGAAACUCUGGGGUGGGGCCCAGCAGUAGGUGUUUUUUAUAGCUUGCCAGGUGGCUCUAACGCACACUCAACUUUGAGAAUACUCCCUUAUUGGAUUAUUCAUAGAAUCUUUGUAAUUUGGUGAUGGGGAGGAACUGACUGCAUGAAUUGCUCCUAAAUAGGAGCAGAUAAUAUAUGUGAUUUAUUGAAGAAUGAAGAGUUGUGAAAAAGUAUGUUCAGAACAAAAUUGUUUAAUAGUGGAAAAGGCAUUUAGUCAGGAAUGACCUCUGUCCCACUAAAUUAGAAAAGCCAUUUAACAUCUGCAGGCUUCAGCUACCUCAUCUGCCAGAUGGGUCAAUUACCUGUCCUACUUGCCCACCAAGUUGCUGUGAAGAUCAAUCCAGAAAGAUCUAAGUUUAGAAAAAAUAGAGGUAAAGACACUAGUAUCUGCAGGUUGUGAGUACAGUUCUGUAAGGCAUCUCGCUUAGUUCCAUUUAGGUUCUUAAGAAUCUACUGCAUUUAACUGUAAAAACAGAAAUCCCAAUGACCUGGUGACUGGAAGGCAGGCAUACAGUACCUCGCCACAGCCCUGUCCUGGAUCUCUGAAGAUCUGGGCUGCUUUCCUUAUCCGAAUACCUGUCAGGUUUACCUUCCAGGGUUGUGUUGAACAGUAGCUGCCAUAAUCUAUAUGAAGCUUCCUUGAAAACAUCCAUGUACUAUUAAAAAUGUAAAGUGUGGUUAUUGCGCCCCGCGUCAUCUUUUCUUUUAAAGAAAAGUUCUACAUGUGGAUGAACUCUUAAGAAGUCUGGUAUUGCACAGCAAUUUAAAUAUGGAUUUUAGGGUUUGUUUUCUUGUCUUCUAGAAAACGACGUGACUAGUGACAGAGCUUCAAGUUUUCAGUUAAUGAUAGCUUCAUAGACAUACAUCCCUCAAAGUGGAAUUACACCUGUGCACAUUAUCAAAGUAAGCCAGGUAGAUCUCAGCCAUUUUUAGAUCUUGGUAUCUUUUCUCCCCCUUGCCUGACAAGUUUCUAUCAAUUCUUAGGCCCCCAGCUAUGAAAAACUAAUGACAGGUGAAAUAAACAAUAAAGGUAUUGUAAGCAUUUUUCUAACUUCUGUGUUCUUAGCUGACUAAGAUUGCUGGCUAUGUUCUUAGAUUGGCUUAAUUAAGACUUUGGCAGUUAAACCAGUUCAUGGGUGCGAAGGACUUGGCAUUUAAAAGCUCAGUAGUUCGUCACUAAUCUAGGCAACUUUAGAGGAAGAAGAAUCCCAAGAAAUAAUAAAACUGAUUUUUAAAAUAGAGGGUUUGCUUUCUUGCUUAUCCCAUCAGCUUAUUAAUAAAAAUGUGUUGAGACCUGUCCCCUGGUUAGGAAGUGUGUGAGGAAGUGUAUUUCAGCAAUGCUGGAAAUGCUGGUUGAGCUUACGGAGUAGAGACACAAGUGGAGAAUAAACUUGUUCCAGGUUAGAGACCCAGGCUAGGGAUGCAAGACCAGGGUAGGGGAAGUGGAGCAGGUUCAGGGUGGCCAGAGUUUGCAGAGUGCAGAAUGAGGAAGGGUGGAUAGGAGGGGUUCUAGAAGGAUAAUUGAAAAGCCAGAGGAUGUGUGGUCCUGUAAAUCAGGUUAAGGAGUUCGGAGGUAAGUUGAGCAGUGGAAAGCCACUGAAGGAUUUUAGAUAGGAUAGUGACUUGUUCUGACUUUUUUUUUCCUCCCAAGAAAGGUGUGUUUGACUGCUUAGUGUGUUGAUUGCUUUAGAGGGUAGUGGUCAGGAAAAGAGGCUGGAAACCAGUCGGGAGACUGUUGCAUUUGUGGGGUGAGAAACAGCAUAGCCUCCUCGAAUUUUAAAUUGCAAGGUGCUUAGAACCUGGUUACUUAGUGUUGUCUGCAGAUGACCUGGGGGUUUGUUAGAAAUGCAGAAUCUCAAGCCCACUCCAGAUCAACUAAGUCAGAACUUCAUUGUAACAAGAUCCCCAGGUGGUUUGUAGGCAUCUUCAAGUUUAAGAAGUGCUGCCUUGGGGGGUACCUGGGUGGCUCAGGUCAUGAUGUCACAGCUCAGAUUGUGGGUUCGAGCCUCUAGUUAGUCUCUGUACUGAGUUCGGAGCCUGGAGCCUACUUAGGAUUCUGUGUCUCUCUCUCUGCCCCUCCCCUGCUCAUGCUCUGUCUCUCUCUCUCAAAAAUAAAUGAACAUUAAAAAAAAAAAAAAAAGUGCUGCCUUGAAAAUAAUCUCUACUUGCCUCUUUACCCCUGUGAGCAGACAGCAAAAAAGUUCCAGAAAGCUUAUGACCUUCCUGAGGUUUAAAGUUUAUGUGUUUUAUAUGAGUCUACAUUAAAGGUUUCCUGGUCUUUUUCAGGUAAUCUAGAGCAUUUUAAAGUAACUAUAAAAAUAAUCUUAUAUCCAAAUGUAUAAUAGUUAAUUAAAGAAAGUUUAGUAUUACCCUAGGAGAUUACAGGGCUUUAAAAGCAUGGUUGGUUAAUUCCUAGCUUUGUAAAUCUUUGUAGAAUUUGGCUGGGAUUUUUGUAUUUGCUAAUCCUGCAUUUCUCAAAAUUGGUGAGGUUAAAAAAGCACAGUUUCUUUUCAUUUACCCAUUUGGUAUAUGUAUUUUUUAAGUUUAUUUUUUUAAUUUGAGAGAGAGAGUGGGGGUGGGGGUGGGGGGAGGGGAGAGAGAGAAUUCCAAGCAGGAUCCCUGCUGCUAGCGCAGAGCCUGACACAGGGCUUGAACUCAGGAACCUGUGAGAUCGUGACCGAGGCCAAAACCAAGAGAACACUUAAUCAGCUGAGCCACCCAAGCAUCCCUACCCAUUUGGUAUUAAUGGAGCAUUAAAACAAUUCUCUCGGCCAGUUUCCUUAAGUUCUUUCAGAAUUUUAGCGUGUUAUCCUGGGAAGUAGAGGCUUGGUAAAUUCAUACUUGCUUUAUGACUUCAACCUUUUACAUACUUUUAAACUUUUUUUUAAAGCAAAAAAAUUCCUUCCCCCAUGCUCCGUUUUAGUAAAAGCAUCCUAUAUGAAAUCAAUGAUGCCCUUGUUGCACUUGCACUUAGACUUUAGUCCACUUUCAUGUAUAUCAGACUUCCCUAGCAGUGCCUUCAGGUGUGGCUGUUAAAAGUGGAUUUAACAUACAUUAAAUAUCUGUUACUUGAUAAGUGCUCAUUUCCUGUGAGUCUGCAGGUGAAGCUUUAAAAUUAGUGGGUAUUGAUUAGGUAGAGGAGAAAAAACAUCUGCUGAAACUUGAUGGCUGGAAGUUUUUGCCCCUUAAAGAAGAAAGAAAAGGGAUGGGGGAGAUAAGUUAUUCCUGUUCUCAACUAGCACCAGUCCAAAGCCUUCCUGAUGAAAAGGGCACAGGUAAUGAAAGCAGUAUGAGUCAAGAGGCCACUCAGGUGAUAUUCUUACCACAGUAGGAUUGAAGGUCACUUAUGGGCAAAAAAAGUUUAAUUUCUAACUGUUCUUUAUAUUACUCCAAAAUUCACUUAUACAAUAAUUAUUUCAUAGCCAAAUUAUGACAUGUUCAAAAAGAAAGAAUAGUUUAAGAUCCAGCAAUCCCAGCAGAUUUUAACUUUUCGAUAGUUCUUAUCUAUAUGCAUGUACAGUUUAACAUUAUUAUAAUCAUUAUAUAGAUUCAGUUUUUUGGUGUCUUGUUUCUGUUUUUAAUUUAACAUUUUAUCAUAAAUUUUCAUAUGUGGGUAUUUCUGUGCCUAUUGCCAAAUUGCUUUGUAGAUCAGGGCAGUCUUUUUACUAAUCUGAGCCUGUUCACUCAUCUCUGGGAUGAAGGUAAUACAGAUUUUAUGAAAUAAAAUUAUUGUAAGAAAAAGUCAGAUUCUCCAUCGAAAUGGUCACAGUACCUGGUACAUGGUAGACCCUCAGUAAUCAAUGACAGCCAUUAUUAUUACACGUUCUGGUUAAAUGGUAAAGUGGGGCCCAACAGUGGCUGGUCUCUUGAACUUAAGUUGGGUAUCUUACCCCACCUCCACCCCUGAAACCUGUUCUGGGUGUGGUUUCCUUCAGCAUGUCAGAAGAGUGUUUGAUUUGCUUGAAAAUGCACCCAACUGAAACACCCCUUUUAUGUUCCCCUUUAGAACAUAUUACAAGGUUGACUGCAGUCACUUGAGUCUGAGUCUGAUGACUUUUGAUGUAGGUUGAAGGUCACAAUGGUGCUGGCUUUCCCAAGUUCAUAAAAAGCAUCUAGAGCAGUUAUUGCUGGAGCCAGAGCUUCCAGCACUUUGUCAGAGAGAACUACUGUAGCCAAACUAAUAUUACCCGCCCUGUGCAGAUUGGUGAAUGCCUCUACUGUGUGUGCUUUUGAAAGGCCUUUCUUAGCUUUUCUCUCUCUGCCCCAACCUUGUUUUCAAGAGGCAUAGGGUCUUUAAGUGGCAAAUCCAGUAAUCACAGUAGCAUGGAGACACAGGCCAGCCUAUAUUUGGUUUUCACAAAGGCCUUGUGAAAGAUCCGGCCUUAAAGUCUCUUUUAAUACUGAAAUGAUGCAAGUGGAAAGUUAAUUUGAGGAUCACUGAGGCACGCUUUAUUCAUGAAGAAUGUGAGCAAAACAUAAAAAGUCUGCAGGCUCUGUUCUUCUUUGGUGGCAAGGAAAUUACAUAGGCUGUGUCAUUAUUUGGGUGAAUUUUACCCCCUACGGAGUGUAAUUGUGCUGGAAUUUUGGAGUGAGAGCUGCCAUUUAAGUACAGACUAGUUGGAGUGUGUGUGUGUUUUGCCUGAAAUCCUUAUACAAACCGUAGACCUUAUUUUGGUGACACUGAAGAUGUGCAAAUGGUGGUUAUCUCUUGGAAUGUGGCCUUGGCAUUUUGAAUUAGGUUUUUUUUCUUUUUUUAAGAGAAACUUUGAAGGUCUGUUUUAAUACAUAUUUUUAAUGUAUAUGAAAUCUUUGAAAGUCCGUGUAUUCUGUUUGAACUAUUAAAUGCCAGUGAGUUUCUGUUUAUCACUAGUUUGAGUGUGUAGUAGUUGAGAGGUGAGUACAAGUCUAGUGCAAAGUUUGUUUCUGAUGCUUGAAAAUGGUGCCCUGAUUUCUAUUGAAGGAGACGUUUACUUACAGAGGUUUAAACAACUUGCUAUAAAAAGUUGACUCUUGUAGUGGUAGAGGGAGAUUAUGCAUUAUCUGUGAACAACUGCCAAGCAGAUGAAAUCACAGCUGCACAGUCUGUGGUGGAGACUGGGUGGGAGUGGCUGGGGGGGCAGAGGAGGAGAAUGAUCAGAACCUAGCUGUGGUGGUGUGGUGCAGAAGACUCAAGGGCUGUGGUCGGCAGUGUUCAGCGUUCGGACAUUUCAUCUCUCAGAAACACAGCAUCACGUAAAGCACAUGGGCCGCGGAGUCACGUAAGCCAGCAUCAAAUCCUGGCUUCAUCAGUGACCUCCCUGGACCCCGUUUUCUUGAUCUGUUAAAAACUGGGAAAAAUAAAUAGCCCUUGGGGUGGCUGUAAAACUUAAAUUAGUACAUCGUAUUGAUUGGGUGACAAACUCAUCCGAGUAUGUCAGAGACUUUCCCAGUGUCAGCAGUGGCUAUUCCUUCUGGGCAAUCUCCCCAAGUCCCAGGCAAGCUGGGCAGUGGGUCACUAUAGUUACAUAUGAAAAUACUUACCAUGUACAGAAGACAAGGUCUGUGUGUGUUUGCUCAUCCCUGUAUGCCUUCCUACUGUUUGACACAUAAAUGAGUAAAGUAAGGAAGACAGUAAUGCAUACAAAGUUCUUUAAAGUGAGUUAGCUGGUCUUCCUCCCUGUGGCCUCUCCUCUCCUGAGAAAAGAGGUGGCCUUACCAGCCACAUGAUAAAUAAUGUGUUGAAAGAGUGAAUCAUAUAAUAAUGGCUUUGGCUCUAUGAUGUAGCUAAGCUAUAACUUCAGGAAGGGCUCAUCUGGAUCUAUUUACUUUUUUGAUAAAAUGAAAUUUCGAUAGGACCCUAGGGACCUCUCUCAUAACAGUCCCUGUAGUCUGCAGGGUGCUGGGGGAUUUAACUUUGGCGAGGAGAGAAGGAAGCCCAUGGUACUGAAGUACUUAGAGAGGUAGUAACAGUUCCCCAGAAGUUAAUUAGACUUGUGGUUGUUUUUCCUUUUUUCCCUUUGAGUGAGAUGGGGCAAGAGUAGUUGGACCAGAGAAGGUUAGGAUCACCCUAAUGUAAUCUAGUUUCAUAGCCAGAGAGGUGAAAAGUACCCUGUGAAAUUGAAAUCCCUUGUUCUAGUUGUGGUAGCCAUUCGUUCAGAUUUUUAUACUGUGUGACUGUGAAAUGAAGGCAGUUUUUCUAACUGCAAAUAUGUCUUUGCUCACAGUGAUACAGCAUGAGUAAUGUUUUUCUGGAAGCCAAGCAGUUAAUGAUACUCUGAGCAAAUAGAGGCAGGGCCUCAGAAAUGUAGAUAUCAGAUUAUGAUGCAAGCUUGGCUUUUUAAACUGAAGAGAUAGCCACGAGAAAACUAGCUGUGGCCAAAGACUGUUUCUCAGCUCACAGUGAUUUCCAGUCCCCUGCCCCCUCCUUAAAAAAAAAAAAAAAAAAAAUUGUUGGUUUUCCUCUGCAAAUAUAUAUGAUUUCUAUUUUGAGACAGGAGGUUAUUUUUUCAUUUGAAACACAAGGAAGCAAUUUUUAAAAGUCCUAGUCAUUCAGCAGUGGGCCUGACUAUAGCCAAGCUUGACUAGGAGUUCUUGGCCACAGAACCACAUACUGCAGCCUUUAUUAGGGUAGUAAAUUCAGUUGGCUUUUUGGGAAAGGAGGGGCCUGGAAUUGAGGGAGAGGCACUAGGGCACUGGCCUGCUGGUCUAGGGCUCUGCAUCUGGCCGGCUUUGGGACUGUUUGCCUACCUGUGUGCUGAGUCAGAUGGGAGGGUGAGUCCAGAUAUCAUCUCAGCCAGUGUUGUCAUCCAGUGAUUCUGUAGUGACCUUUCUUACCUCAUUUUACUUAUGAGCUCAUAGUUGUCUCCAAAGGUAAGUUAUGCUGUGGAUCACUUUUUCUGUGAUAAGGAGCAGCUCUUUUGCUCAUCAGUGUUUUUUGCAAGAGGAAACUGAAGCACAGGGCACUCAGUGAUUUAGCAGUUGGCUUUGGGAUCUCCUCUAUUUCCCUUUCCCUAGUGGGAAUUUACAAUGUAAGUCAUUUGCUAAGGUCCCCUGCAUUAAAAACCAACAAAUAAAACUACUGCAGUGGGAGACGUGAUUGUUAGAAUAAUAGUUGGUGUUACUCAAUUCCUGUUUAAUAUUCUGCCUUAUGGAGGGCAUCUCUGUAGCUCGUUGCUAGGCACCUAGGGUACAACUUCCCUCUAGAGGCUCACAAACAAGUCAAGAGACAGCAAAACAGAUAUGCUUUUCGUAAUAGGAUUUAAAUGGGUGAAUAUAAAGAUGGGGUGGGUGCUUUAUAUACCUGCAAAAUGGAGAACACCUGCCCUCCUUGCUAAUCCAGGAGUUGCUUUGAGAAUCAGUUACAAUAAUGUGUGUGAGCACCCUAUGAAAAAUACAAAUCCGUAAUCAAAUCCAAGAAAUUUUUGUGUGGGGAAACGAAUGGCAAGACUCUGUUCUCAGUUUCACUCAACUGGUCUGAUGAAGGAAACAGACCUUUUCAAUAACAAUUGCCUGUAUUUACUGAAUACUUAAAUACCUGACUCUGUGCCAUUUAUUAUAUGCAUUACCUCAUUGCAGGCUCAGAGGAAUGCUAGAGAUAGGUAUAGAUGUUAUCUCUGUUUACAGAUGAGGAAACCAAGGCUUGGAGAGAUGAAGACACUUGCUCAGUGUCACAGGGCCAGUAAACGGCGGGGCCAUGAUCACACCCAGCUGUGUGUUCACAGACCCCACUCCACGCUGCCUCUCUGGAGAUAGGUAUCUUCCUGGGAAGAUCUAGGCGUGCCGAGGUGUGGAGAGAGCGGUUGGACCUCGUCUAGCAGCAGCCUACACAGUUUCUUGAGUGUGCUUUGAAGCAGCUUCCUCAGCGCUUGCUCUUCAGAAAGCGUCCUCCCCUGUGGGUGUGGGAUUUAUGAUGUGGUUUCCUUCCUCCUGCCUCUGGCCCUUCUCCCUCAGGGUCAGAAAGCCCACGGGUGGCUGAUAAUGUGCUGUGCUGGAGUCACUGGUCCCCGCCCUGUGUUCAGGAUGGGUCAUGUUUGUGUCACGGUGUGGUAAGCUGGUGGUGCUGUGGGGGCCUGACCAGUGCGGGCUGGCUUGGAAUCAGAGGUCACAGCCUUGGCCACCACAUUGCUCAUGAGUCCCCUGAUGCCUGUGAUGUAAGAGUUCAACCACAAGCUUCUUUCUCCUCUACUGAAUGUAACCUUAAAAAAAAAAAUGCUUUUGUGGGUGACAUUUCCAGCACGAACCAGGUAUGAACCAGGUGCUUUGACAUCUACUGUAUAUUAUUCUUUUCAGUAGCCUUGUGAGAUAGGUGGUGUCCUAUCUGCCCUGAGAAUUGAGGAACCUGAAGAUCACAAAGGUGAAAUGAGUUGGCAUGAUCACUUAGCCAGCAAGUGACAAAUGGGUGAUUUUGCAAAAUUUUGCAGCAAGAGGGGGCUGUUUUCAACAUUUCUUUGAACUUAAAGUAUGUAUUUUUUUUUUUACAUAGGGUAGAGGCAGAUAGCAAGGCAUAGUGUACAUGUUUAUCAGCACAUGGGUAGAUUUUACUGAUUUUAAUUUCAUUUACAUUUUGUUGAAAACACAUGUGUUCAAUUAUUUUUAUUAGGGAUUCAACCAAAUUCAUAGGUGUUUUAAAGUGUCACACUUAACCUAGCAAAAGAUUGAAUACAUAGAUUAAAAAUGAUAGGCUUGUCAGUCAGGUUUCUCAAGUAUGAAUUUCUGAUCAAACUGCUUGCUACUGAUGAGUAUAUCCUUCCAUUAAAAACAGUGUCAUCUGCUAAACUGCUUAUAGAUAUUGCAAGGGGCAUAACAUUGCCGGGAGGGGUGCUGCAUCUGCAUAUCUUGAAGGUCAGAGCUGACAUCCAUUUGAAUACAUUGGAUAAAUGGUAAAUGCAUUUAGGGUAUUUGGGAGGAUGUGGAGCCAUGUGAUAGCUCAAAUUCAGGUGAUAUUAAGCCUUGGUCUAUCGGGAUCUUUUUGAAGAUAGCUAUAAACACGCAUGUAGAUAAGGACCCAGUGACAGUACUUUGAGGACUCUGGAUUUUGAGUUGUUAGACAUGAGAUACCUGCAGCCAGACAUCUUUUGUGAUUUAAAUGAUGUGGUGACUCAGUGACAGCCAAACUGUAAGACAGCUCAACUUUAAAGUAGCAAGGACUCAUUUGAAUCUGUCCACAAACCUCUGAACCAAAAGGGGAGGGAAAAUGUGUUUGCCUACAUUUGGAAAGCUGGGUUGCAACAUGCCUCUGCUUAGGCAGUCAUGAAAACCAUGUCUUUCUUCCUUUCUCCUGUGUGAGACAGGAGUUGACCUGUAGCCUGAAAGAAAUGUGUUUGGGUGGGUACUUAGGGCAGCUUCCAGAACCCGGCUCAGUUUUUAGGUUAUUGUGGUGGAGUUAGAGGGAAAGCUGGGUAACGAUGUUGGUCUUUUAUUUUGAUGUCACCUGAUGUCACUGGAGUCUGCUUCACCUUUUGCUGCGGUGGCUCAGUUUGUGACUGAAAUCUAGAACAUCGCUGAGGGGGGAGAUGCAUGUAGGCAUAGGAAGAUAGCUGUUGGCUCUAGUUGUUGCUUCCAUUUCUUUCUGUUGGUGAUAAGUAUUGUUAUCUAGAACUUGUCCUCAACUCAACUGGCAUAACCUGGAAGCCACUUGCUUAUAAUGGGCUCUAGUUGAUGCACUAUUGCAGACUGGCUGUUGGGAUGGAGUAGCAUGUGCCUACUAAGUAACGAAGAAUAAGUGCUGUGGAUGAAAGCAGGAUCAAGUUUUAGAACAUGUUUAUAGCUCUAACACUGCCGAAGGAGCCAUCAAAUCCAUCCACCUGUUUAAUCAGCAAUUCAGCAAGUAAGUGAGUGUCAUGGUGAGCAAGUUAAGAUGCUAAACACUCUAGAAAACAGGUGUAAGAGACAGUCACUCCCUUGAAUAACAUUCUAAAAGGGAAUACUAGGUAGAAAGUGGCAGGUGUUCUAAGAUGUGCGCAUAACUCCCCUAGGUUGUGGUCGGAUGGGAGAGAGACUUUUUGGAGUUGACAUUUCAGCUACAACUUUAGGACCAGGAUUAGGUAAUGAGAUGGUGGGUGCUGGGGGGGUAGGGAUGGGCUUUGACUAGAGGGAGCCACAAAAACAGUGAGGCAUGUUGGGGGAAUGGCUAGACACCUGCCUAGGAUGUCAGAUGUAUAUUUUCCCUUCCAUUUCCAUUGUUAAUGCUUUAUUACUAGUUGGGGGUUUGGCCUUUUUGUUAGCCAACAUGCAGCUAAUGUUGGCACAGGUACAGAGAAUCAGGUGCUUAACAGCCGAUUUUGGUAAAGUGACCUUGCACAAGUGAUAUGCAUCUCAUUUCUCUCGCCCAUUAGAAAGGACUGUGAGAUCAUCAUUUGGCACAGACGUGAAGGUUCCUGCAAAUAAACGUAUGGAAGGUAUUAUUGGUAGUACCAGUAACCAGUGGUAACUUUGAUUUUACUGAAGGCAUCUGUUAAGACUUUGCUGGGUAGAUGCCCACUGCUAAGAAAAAAACAAAA